rnacentral:rRNA from 1 species
CACGUAGGGGGCGAGCGUUGUUCGGAAUUACUGGGCGUAAAGGGCACGUAGGCGGUUCUGUAAGCCUGACGUGAAAGGCUAUGGCUCAACCAUGGCAUUGCGUUGGGAACUGCGGGACUUGAAUCACGGAGAGGGAGCUGGAAUUCCAGGUGUAGGGGUGAAAUCUGUAGAUAUCUGGAAGAACACCAAUGGCGAAGGCAAGCUCCUGGCCGAUGAUUGACGCUGAGGUGCGAAAGUGUGGGGAUCAAACAGGAUUAGAGACCCUGGUAGUCCACACUGUCAACGAUGUGCACUAGGUGCUGGGGCGGACGCUUCAGUGCCGGAGCUAACGCGGUAAGUGCACCGCCUGGGGAGUAUGCUCGCAAGGGUGAA